UCAAUUCAGCAACCUAACUUGAGGUGCUAAUCUUCGAUACAUACUUUUUAAAGUAUUACAUUAAAGCCAAUUACAAAGGGAUUUUGGAAAUGUUGAGGUGAGAAAAAUACUUUUUUUUUCCUUCAAGAAUGUUAGAGAUUGAGUCAUCUUAGUUUUUUCAUUUUUUUUUCUUUUCAAUUUUUUUCACCCAUCUGGCAUGGUAAGAUUAAUUUAUAACAAACCAGCCAGUGUAAAUAAGCAACUGAUACAAAUUAUACAACUAUAACGGCUAAGUAAGCACUUGAAGAUCUGUUGCGUUUUG
rnacentral:lncRNA from 1 species